GUCCCAAACGAUGACAAUAUUUGCAUUCACGACGGUAUUUGAAAGUGGAAUAUCGUCGUCGAGAAUAAAAAAACGUCAUAAUUAAUAAUCUUAGCCAAGUAGUACCGGAAGCAGCAAAGAAAAAUUAACAUCGGUGAACAGUGCGCAUGAACAGUACCGUCGUGAACAGUACCAGCGAAUGAACAGUGCGUAUGAACAGUACCACGGGUUAACAGUGCCGCACACAAAAUCAGUUGUCGUGGUCAGAUUGUAAACACGACGGCGGCUAGGGUUUUGCGGAAGCGAGACCCCCAAAAUCGGGAGCUCUCGAUACCAUCUUAGAAAUGAGUAUUGGGCCUAACUCAUCCUUACAAAACCGGCUUGUAAGGUGAGGAUUGCCUCUAGUAUAUAAACACUUAGUAAGGCCAUCUCUUAACCGAUGUGGGACUUCUUAACACACCCCCUCGCGUCCAGCGCUAUUGGGCUUGGUACGCGGAUAUAAAUGGUAGGUGACCCGAUAUCGGGUGGCCCAACAACGGAUCUUGGAGAGGCUCUGAUACCAUGUAGAAAAUAAUAAGUGAAUACUGUUAUAUGUUAUUCCUCAGCUCAAGGCUGGUUUAAAUAGGAAGAGUACAAACAUAAAAGGAAAUAAUAGAUAGGCUUAGAAUCUCCUAGAAAUAACAAACUAGGAAACUAAAUAUUUUCCAACAAUUAGUAUUAUAGACUAAGCUUGUAUAAAUAGACAUGAGUGUGAUCUGAUUUAAGCUGAUGAAAUCACAAAUUCAACAUAGUAUCCGAGCCUAAAUUUUCACAAGUUAUGUUAUCUUUGCAGACAUUCUUGACCAUAAUUGAAUUUGUAAUAUUUUGACUUAUAGAAUCAUUCUCUUUUGCUAUGCAG
rnacentral:lncRNA from 1 species